GCUUAUGGCCACACCACCCCUGUCUGUGCCCGAUCUCGUCUGGUCUCGGAAGCUAAGCAGGGUCGGGCCUGACUAGUACUUGGAUGGGAGACAGUCUGGGAAUACCUGGUGCUGUAAGCU
ensembl:rRNA 5S_rRNA 5S ribosomal RNA